rnacentral:rRNA from 1 species
GAUGAACGCUGGCGGCGUGCCUAAUACAUGCAAGUCGAGCGAACGGACGAGAAGCUUGCUUCUCUGAUGUUAGCGGCGGACGGGUGAGUAACACGUGGAUAACCUACCUAUAAGACUGGGAUAACUUCGGGAAACCGGAGCUAAUACCGGAUAAUAUUUUGAACCGCAUGGUUCAAAAGUGAAAGACGGUCUUGCUGUCACUUAUAGAUGGAUCCGCGCUGCAUUAGCUAGUUGGUAAGGUAACGGCUUACCAAGGCAACGAUGCAUAGCCGACCUGAGAGGGUGAUCGGCCACACUGGAACUGAGACACGGUCCAGACUCCUACGGGAGGCAGCAGUAGGGAAUCUUCCGCAAUGGGCGAAAGCCUGACGGAGCAACGCCGCGUGAGUGAUGAAGGUCUUCGGAUCGUAAAACUCUGUUAUUAGGGAAGAACAUAUGUGUAAGUAACUGUGCACAUCUUGACGGUACCUAAUCAGAAAGCCACGGCUAACUACGUGCCAGCAGCCGCGGUAAUACGUAGGUGGCAAGCGUUAUCCGGAAUUAUUGGGCGUAAAGCGCGCGUAGGCGGUUUUUUAGUCUGAUGUGAAAGCCCACGGCUCAACCGUGGAGGGUCAUUGGAAACGGGAAAACUUGAGUGCAGAAGAGGAAAGUGGAAUUCCAUGCGUAGCGGUGAAAUGCGCAGAGAUAUGGAGGAACACCAGUGGCGAAGGCGACUUUCUGGUCUGUAACUGACGCUGAUGUGCGAAAGCGUGGGGAUCAAACGGGAUUAGAUACCCUGGUAGUCCACGCCGUAAACGAUGAGUGCUAAGUGUUAGGGGGUUUCCGCCCCUUAGUGCUGCAGCUAACGCAUUAAGCACUCCGCCUGGGGAGUACGACCGCAAGGUUGAAACUCAAAGGAAUUGACGGGGACCCGCACAAGCGGUGGAGCAUGUGGUUUAAUUCGAAGCAACGCGAAGAACCUUACCAAAUCUUGACAUCCUUUGACAACUCUAGAGAUAGAGCCUUCCCCUUCGGGGGGCAAAGUGACAGGUGGUGCAUGGUUGUCGUCAGCUCGUGUCGUGAGAUGUUGGGUUAAGUCCCGCAACGAGCGCAACCCUUAAGCUUAGUUGCCAUCAUUAAGUUGGGCACUCUAAGUUGACUGCCGGUGACAAACCGGAGGAAGGUGGGGAUGACGUCAAAUCAUCAUGCCCCUUAUGAUUUGGGCUACACACGUGCUACAAUGGACAAUACAAAGGGCAGCGAAACCGCGAGGUCAAGCAAAUCCCAUAAAGUUGUUCUCAGUUCGGAUUGUAGUCUGCAACUCGACUACAUGAAGCUGGAAUCGCUAGUAAUCGUAGAUCAGCAUGCUACGGUGAAUACGUUCCCGGGUCU